UAAGGGAUAUUGCGCAAUGGGCGAAAGCCUGACGCAGCAACGCCGCGUGCCCGAGGAAGGCCUUCGGGUCGUAAAGGGCUUUUACGAAAGAAGAGAGCGGACGGUAAUUCGUGAAGAAGUGUCGGCUAACUACGUGCCAGCAGCCGCGGUAAAACGUAGGACGCGAGCGUUAUCCGGAGUUACUGGGCGUAAAGAGCGGGUAGGCGGUCGGUCAAGUCGGAUGUGAAAUCUCCCUGGCUCAACCGGGAGGGGGCAUACGAAACUGACGGGCUGGAGACCAGCAGAGGGACGUGGAAUUCCGGGUGGAGUGGUGAAAUGCGUAGAGAUCCGGAGGAACACCAGAGGCGAAAGCGGCGUCCUGGGCUGGGGCUGACGCUGAACCGCGAAAGCCAGGGGAGCGAACGGGAUUAGAAACCCCGGUAGUCCUGGCUGUAAACGAUGCCAACUGGGCGUGGGUGCGGGAAGGCAUCUGCGUCGGAGCGAACGCGGUAAGUUGGCCGCCUGAGGAGUACGACCGCAAGGUUA
rnacentral:rRNA from 1 species